rnacentral:rRNA from 1 species
UGGGGAAUUUUGCGCAAUGGGGGAAACCCUGACGCAGCGACGCCGCGUGAAGGAUGAAGGUCUUCGGAUUGUAAACUUCUUUUGUCGGGGAAGAUAAUGACGGUACCCGAUGAAUAAGCCACGGCUAACUCUGUGCCAGCAGCCGCGGUAAGACAGAGGUGGCAAGCGUUGUUCGGAAUUACUGGGCUUAAAGGGCGCGUAGGCGGUGGAGUAAGUCUGAGGUGGAAGGUCAGGGCUUAACCCUGAAAUUGCCUUGGAAACUGCAUCACUUGAGUCAGCAAGGGGAUGGCGGAAUUCCAGGUGUAGCGGUGAAAUGCGUAGAUAUCUGGAGGAAGGCCGGUGGCGAAGGCGGCCAUCUGGUGCUGAACUGACGCUGAGGCGCGAAAGCGUGGGGAGCAAA